UACGUAGGGUGCGAGCGUUGUUCGGAAUUACUGGGCGUAAAGGGCUCGUAGGUGGCCAACUAAGUCGGACGUGAAAUCCCUCAGCUUAACUGGGGAACUGCGUCCGAUACUGGAUGGCUUGAGUUUGGGAGAGGGAUGCGGAAUUCCAGGUGUAGCGGUGAAAUGCGUAGAUAUCUGGAGGAACACCGGUGGCGAAGGCGGCAUCCUGGACCAACACUGACACUGAGGAGCGAAAGCCAGGGGAGCAAACGGG
rnacentral:rRNA from 1 species